rnacentral:rRNA from 1 species
AUUGAACGCUGGCGGCAUGCCUUACACAUGCAAGUCGAACGGCAGCAUGAUCUAGCUUGCUAGAUUGAUGGCGAGUGGCGAACGGGUGAGUAAUACAUCGGAACGUGCCCUGUAGUGGGGGAUAACUAGUCGAAAGAUUAGCUAAUACCGCAUACGACCUGAGGGUGAAAGUGGGGGACCGCAAGGCCUCAUGCUAUAGGAGCGGCCGAUGUCUGAUUAGCUAGUUGGUGAGGUAAAGGCUCACCAAGGCGACGAUCAGUAGCUGGUCUGAGAGGACGAUCAGCCACACUGGGACUGAGACACGGCCCAGACUCCUACGGGAGGCAGCAGUGGGGAAUUUUGGACAAUGGGCGAAAGCCUGAUCCAGCAAUGCCGCGUGUGUGAAGAAGGCCUUCGGGUUGUAAAGCACUUUUGUCCGGAAAGAAAUGGCUCUGGUUAAUACCUGGGGUCGAUGACAGUACCGGAAGAAUAAGGACCGGCUAACUACGUG